ensembl:lncRNA
GUUUUAAUUGUUGGUGAUUUUAAUAUCCAUGUUGAUAAUGAAAAAGAUGCAUUGGGAUCAGCAUUUAUAGACAUUCGGAACUCUAUUGGGGUUAGACAACAUGUCUCAGGACCUACUCAUUGUCGAAAUCAUACUCUAGAUUUAAUACGGUCAGAUGGAAUUGAUGGUGUUGAAAUUAUGGAGCCAAGCGAUGAUAUCUCAGAUCAUUAUUUAGUUUUGUGCAAACUUCAUAUAGCUAAAACUGUAAAUUCUACUUGUUGUUACAAGUAUGGUAGAACCAUCACUUCUACCACAAAAGACUGCUUUGUAAGUAAUCUUCCUGAUGUAUCCCAAUUCCUUAGCAUAUCCAAAACCUCAGAACAACUUGAUGAUGUAACAGAAACUAUGGACUCUCUCUUUUCUAGCAUUUUAAAUACAGUUGCUCCUUUACGCUUAAAGAAGGUUAAGGAAAACAGUCUGACACUGUGGUAUAAUGAGCACACUCGCACCCUAAAGAGAGCAGCCCGGAAAAUGGAGCGCAGCUGGAGGAAAACAAAACUAGAGGUCACCAUAGCCACCAGAUCCAGUCUGUAUCCAAGUCAGAGGGUCACUGCAGUCACCCGGAUCCAGUACGUAUCCAGCCCAGAUGGUGGAUCAGCACCUAGAAAGGACCUCUACAGCCCUGAAAGACAGCGGAGACCAGGACAACUAGAGCCCCAGAGACAGAUCCCCUGUAAAGACCUUGUCUCCGAUGACCACUUGGACAAGACCACAGGAAACAGAUGAUUCUUCUGCACAAUCUGACUUUGCUGCAGCCUGGAAUUGAACUGCUGGUUUCGUCUGGUCAGAGGAGAACUGGCCCCCCGACUGAGCCUGGUUUCUCCCAAGGUUUUUUCUCUAUUCUGUCACCGAUGGAGUUUUGGUUCCUUGCCGCUGUCGCCUCUGGCUUGCUUAGUUGGGGACACUUCAUUUACAGCGAUAUCGUUGACUUGAUUGCAAAUUAUUGCACAGAUACGAUUUAAACUGAACUGAGCUGUGUGAUGACAUCACUGAAUUCAAUGAUGAACUGCCUUUAACUGUCAUUU